GCCAAUCUGAACUGUUUUGGUAUGUACCCCACUGCGCACUCACCAGUAAAGUAUGCUUUUUGUGAGUAAAAUGCGCUCUUGUGAGUGAAGUGAACCCUACUCACCCCUUCACUAUAAAGCUGCUUGCAAGAUUUAUAUAUAUUAGAGUGGUCCAUGAGAUUUUGUAUGGGCAUGCUCCAUCUCUCUCUCUCUCUCUCUCACACACACACAAACGCACUAUAUUUUCAGUGCAAGAAAGAAAGGAAAAAUAAAAGAAAGGGAUGUGAGUGAGAUCUGAGAAGAAUUUGAAGGUCGUGUUGCUGAUUCUUGCAAGUCCUGGUCAUGCUAUUCCACAGCUUUCUUGAACUUUCUUGUAAUGCUUCUUUUAAUCUCUCUAUAUAUUGAUAGGCAGCACCUUGGAAGCUCAAGAAAGCUGUGGGAGAACAUGGCAUUUCAGGAUUUUCUUUUUUUUUUUUUUGGGUUUAGGUUUUUUUUCUUCUUUGGAGUCUGCUAUUUCUUGGCUCUUUCCUGGAAAAAGAUUAAGGAUCUCUCUCCAUUAGUUGAUGAGAAGAAUUGAAACUGCUUCCACCAUCUGUCUUUCUGCAUGAGUCAAGUUGCAGCAAGCUUUUGUUUCCAAAAACAAGAAAAGAAUCUCUGAAGUGCCGAGUGCUGACCCAGCUAUUGGAGAAUCGUCCAAAUUUCUAUAGUGGGAUGGCAUUGGCAUGCAGGCUCUUUCAGCAGCCAUACGCCAUUCAAUCAAGUCUCUUUCCUGUUUCUUUCACCCCCCACCCCCCCAAAUUUCCUUCAUUUUAACCUAAAUCAAUUUCACAACUUCUUCUUCUGCAAUAUAUGUACUAAAAACACAGACAAAGUACUCGAGUAAAUAACUUGCAGUAUAAAAUCAUUACCAUUUACA